UCAGGCGGCCGGAUGGCCGCUGGCUGGCGCUUGCGUCGGCUGGAGGAAAGUCCGGGCUCCACGGGAACACGGUGCCGGGUAACACCCGGCGGGGGCGACCCCAGGGAAAGUGCCACAGAAAACAAACCGCCAUCCUGCGUCUCGGCGUGGGACGGUAAGGGUGAAAGGGUGCGGCAAGAGCGCACCGCGCGGCCGGUAACGGUCGCGGCAGGGCAAACCCCACCGGGAGCAAGAUCGAGUAGGGGUGGCGCGCCUCAGGCAGGUCCGUUCCCGGCCCAGCCGCCCGGGUUGAUCGCGUGAGGCGUCCGGCAACGGGCGUCCCAGAUGAAUGGUCAUCGUCCGGCCCGUGUGGUCGGUCACAGAACCCGGCUUACAGGCCGCCUGAUCCC
rnacentral:RNase_P_RNA from 1 species